rnacentral:rRNA from 1 species
AGUGAACGCUGGCGGUAGGCCUAACACAUGCAAGUCGAACGACAGCACAGUAAGAGCUUGCUCUUACGGGUGGCGAGUGGCGGACGGGUGAGGAAUACAUAGGAAUCUACUUUUUCGUGGGGGAUAACGUAGGGAAACUUACGCUAAUACCGCAUACGAUCUACGGGUGAAAGCAGUGGAGCAUCGCACCUUUCCCGAUUGAAUGAGACGGUGUCGGAUUAGCUAGUUGGCGGGGUAAAGGAACACCAAGGCGACGAUACGUAGCUGGUCUGAGAGGAUGAUCAGCCACACUGGAACUGAGACACGGUCCAGACUCCUACGGGAGGCAGCAGUGGGGAAUAUUGGACAAUGGGCGCAAGCCUGACCCAGCCAUACCGCGUGAGUGAAGAAGGCCUUCGGGUUGUAAAGCCCUUUUGUUGGGAAAGAAAAGCAGCAUGUUAAUACCCCGCUGUUCUGACGGUACCCAAAGAAUAAGCACCGGCUAACUUCGUG